rnacentral:lncRNA from 1 species
GUGUAUCCUGUUCGAUCAAAACCCAGGAGCGACCCCAAGGUUCUUCAAAACCCUAACUCAUCUAAAUUCACUCAAAAAUCAAAGAACCAAAACCAAAUUGAAGGUGAUUCAAGGCUGAAUUGUGAUCCUUAUACUUAGUAGAGCACAAGAAUUCAUUGAUGUUAUGGCAAAUUGAGCGAAUCGUCGAGUGGCCAAGGCGGAACGGAUACCGCUUAAAGGGAAAGCUUUAAAGGUACGCGGCUCUACGCUUCGUAAAAUUUCACUAGUAUCUUAUGUUUAAUUUCUUGAAUGAUAAUUGAAUAGUUAUGAAGUUUGGUUAAUACUAAACUGGAGCAUUCCGUAUGUAUUAACCGAUCGAAAUAACAAGAGUAUAGCGAUAAGUAAAAACGUAGAAGUGAUGAAUUCCACUAUGAGGUUCAAAUGGGUCAAAAGGACUCUAAUUAUACAUGUUUGGUUUGAUAUAAAGCGAUGGUUUUCGCUAACAAACUAAACGGGUCAAAAUAACCAAAGUAGUAAAACUUUGGUGAUAUAAAGCGAUGGUUUUCGCUAACAAACUAAAUGGGUCAAAAUAACCAAAGUAGUAAAACUUUGGUGAUAUAAAGCGAUGGAUGUUGCUAUGAAAGCUAAACGGGUCAAUAUGAUGUCUUAAUGUAAACCGGGAAGGUUACAUGAUUAAAGACGUCGAAACAAUGCCGGAUUUUUAAUAUAAUAUAUUCAUUAUAAGCAUUAGCCGAGAAUCGGAUACGCGUAAUACAAGUCAAAAACUCAGGUUUGAGUAUGAUUAAAAUAUGCGCAAAUUCCCAUUAUGGGAUUUGUGUGGAAGUUGUUUAACUAGUUAGAGUUAAACGGGUCGAAUAAAGGACAAACACCUAAAUAACGAUGUGUAAACCGUAUGGGUAACAUCCCAGAAAUUUUAGAAAUGGUCAUAUAGAUCAAGCCUAUACAAAAACUGAAAGUAAUAAGACAAGUUAUAGUAUAGAGAUCUAAAUGGGUCAAAAUAAAUUGAAUUUAUUAUAAGCCGAUAGCUUAAAUUUAAGAAUUUUGUGAAUCAUGAUAUGGGAUUAUGAUUCUAUGCUAUAGAGGGUCAAAUUACGAUCAUGUAGGAAGAAACGGGACCUAAUUCGGGUUAAUAACGGACAAGUUAUGUCCAAUUUCGUAAAAAUCAUUCUAGCUGAAAAUAUGCAGGUCUAUAAUCUGAACUCGCAGUAAAAAUAAGGGUGUCGCGCUACGCGACAGUGAUCUAAUAACCCGUCGCGUCACGCGAGGGUGGUCGCGUCCCGCGACGGCUUCGGCAUGUAUGUGUCGCGCCCCGCGAGGGAUCAAAAAGUCUGCAAUAGUGUUGCUGUUGUGUGUUUUAACUUCCCGGACUCAUUUAAUCGAGUCUUAAUCAUCAUAAACUAACCAUUUUUGGUGUUUUUGAUUAUAGGUGACCAUAAUUACUAGACGGAUGACGAUCAUGCAAGAAAAUGAACCGAAUACACACUUAAUCAAAGCUUUCGCGACUAAACCAAGACUUUGGUCACGACCACUUUAGAGUUGUGUUAUCAUAAUUCUGUACAUAUGGUUUAAAAACUAAGUAGGUUGUGCUUUAAAAAUAUGUUUUGAAACGUUAGUGAACGUAUUUUGAAGGUUUUGAAACUUAUAAAAAUGUUGU